rnacentral:rRNA from 1 species
GACGAACGCUGGCGGCGUGCCUAAUACAUGCAAGUAGAACGCACAGUUUAUACCGUAGCUUGCUACACCAUAGACUGUGAGUUGCGAACGGGUGAGUAACGCGUAGGUAACCUGCCUGGUAGCGGGGGAUAACUAUUGGAAACGAUAGCUAAUACCGCAUAAUAUUGAUUAUUGCAUGAUAAUUGAUUGAAAGAUGCUAUUUCAUCACUACCAGAUGGACCUGCGUUGUAUUAGCUAGUAGGAGAGGUAACGGCUCACCUAGUCGACGAUACAUAUCCGACCUUGGAGGGGGAUCGGCCACACUGGGACUGAGACACGGCCCAGACUCCCUCGGGAGGCAGCAGUAGGGAAUCUUCGGCAAUGGAGGAAAGUCUGACCGGGCAACGCCGCGUGAGUGAAGAAGGUUUUCGGAUCGUAAAGCUCUGUUGUAAGAGAAGAACGGGUGUGAGAGUGGAAAGUUCACACUUUGACGGUAUCUUACCAGAAAGGGACGGCUAACUACGUG